UACGUAGGGGGCAAGCGUUGUCCGGAAUCAUUGGGCGUAAAGAGCGUGUAGGCGGCCCGAUAAGUCCGCUGUGAAAGUCCAGGGCUCAACCCUGGGAUGCCGGUGGAUACUGUCGGGCUCGAGUCCGGAAGAGGCGAGUGGAAUUCCUGGUGUAGCGGUGAAUGACGCAGAUAUCAGGAGGAACACCAAUGGCGAAGGCAGCUCGCUGGGACGGUACUGACGCUGAGACGCGAAAGCGUGGGGAGCAAACAGG
rnacentral:rRNA from 1 species